UACGUAGGGGGCUAGCGUUGUCCGGAAUCAUUGGGCGUAAAGAGCGCGUAGGCGGCCAACUAAGUCAGACGUGAAAUCCCUCGGCUUAACCGGGGAACUGCGUCUGAUACUGGAUGGCUUGAGUUUGGGAGAGGGAUGCGGAAUUCCAGGUGUAGCGGUGAAAUGCGUAGAUAUCUGGAGGAACACCGGUGGCGAAGGCGGCAUCCUGGACCAACACUGACGCUGAGGAGCGAAAGCCAGGGGAGCAAACGGG
rnacentral:rRNA from 1 species